GACAGAGGAUGCAAGCGUUAUCCGGAAUGAUUGGGCGUAAAGCGUCUGUAGGUGGCUUUUUAAGUCUGCCGUCAAAUCCCAGGGCUUAACCCUGGACAGGCGGUGGAAACUACCAAGCUGGAGUACGGUAGGGGCGGGGGGAAUUUCCGGUGGAGCGGUGAAAUGCGUAGAGAUCGGAAAGAACACCAACGGCGAGAGCACUCUGCUGGGCCGACACUGACACUGAGAGACGAAAGCUAGGGGAGCGAAUGGG
rnacentral:rRNA from 1 species